GACGAACGCUGGCGGCGUGCUUAACACAUGCAAGUCGAACGAAGUGGCGAACGGGUGAGUAACGCGUAAUCAACCUGCCCUUCAGAGGGGGACAACAGUUGGAAACGACUGCUACUACCUCAUACUGAAGGAGGGGAUUGCGUCAGAUUAGAUAGUUGGAGGGGUACCGGCCCAAAAAGGCGAUGAUAAGUAGCAGGUCUGAUAGGGUGAACGGCCAAAUUGGGACUGAGACACGGCCAAGACUCCUACGGGAGGAAGCAGUGGGGAAUCUUCCGCAAUGGACGAAAGUCUGACGGAGCAACGCCGCGUGAGUGAUGACGGCCUUCGGGUUGUAAAGCUCUGUUAAUCGGGACGCGGUACCGGAAUAGAAAGCCACGGCUAACUACGUGCCAGCAGCCGCGGUAAUAC
rnacentral:rRNA from 1 species